GUUUAAGAUAAUUUGUCUUUAAACUUUUCUGCCUUUCUUGCAUUACUAUGUCCUAUCACUUCAUCGAAAAUAAUUUUGCCUUCCUCAGAAUUAAUUUUGUAUUGUUUUGAUGGACUUAAAAAUUUUUCGGCUUUUCUAGCUUUCAGUGUUAGUGAAUUGUUAAAUAGAAGAUACCAAAUGUUAAACAUGCGGAUCCAAAAUGAUGAAGUCCCGUCCUCUGCCGCCCACUUGUAGUCAAGUUUUGCUAACUCACCAUACUGAAUUUGAGAAGAGAAUAUAUUUCCUUCUGUAUUUCUCUGUGAUGCUUGAAUAGUUGAAUACUAUUCUUUAUUAUGUUCUGAAUUUUCCAGAAACUUUAGUUCGUUUGAUCCCUGUAAUUCUACAAUUUCAAGUGCAUUUUUUUCUCGUUGUAAAAGGUUUAACACGUCAUUUGUAUUCCAAAGAGCAUUGCUUUCUUUGUCCUCGACUUCCACAUUCUUUCAAUUUGUAAUUUUACCAGUGGAUGUAAUAACUAAUAUUUAGAUUGACUGACAAGGCUAAAGAUCUUUCUUUCUUUCUUUCUUUCUCCCUGUGUGGCUAUCUACAGAUAUUUGAAAAGAUGAACAAGCAUGUGAUGUAUAAGCGGAUACUCUGAUCACCAGUCUGUGAGUGUACCUCCAAAAAUUUUCAAUCCCAAAAUGCUUUUGCUGCUUAAGUUCCAAAAGAUACCAAAGAAUGGUUCGUGAAACUGAUUUGGUCAUAAUUGGAGUCUCUGUUGGUUUGGCCCUUGGUGUUGCGAUAGCUUCUCUAGUAUUUUUUGGCAUAAGGUGGUAUAAGAAUCGUGCUCAUCUCCGACAGUGUGCAAAUGAGCGUAGUCUAGCAACCCUUCCUAUACGCAUAAAUGGCUUGGAGACUAGCAAUGACUUCAGUGCAUCACUUACAAAUUCCACAACCAUUCACCAAUCAGAACAACCUCCGAAAAGUUCACAAUUUUUUUGGUGGAAUCACCACAGUAAAGAUCAGUUUGCGUCUACAUCAGGCAUACUUAGAUAUUCUUACAAGGAUAUUCAGAAAGCAACACAAAAUUUUACAACUAUAUUGGGACAAGGUUCAUUUGGUCCUGUGUAUAAAGCUGUGAUGCCUGGUGGAGUAGUUGCCGUAAAGGUUCUUGCUUCUAAUUCAAAACAAGGGGAGAAAGAGUUUCAAACAGAGGUAUCAUUAUUGGGAAGGCUGCAUCACCGGAAUCUUGUGAAUUUGUUAGGAUAUUGUGUCGAUAAAGGACAGCACAUGUUGAUCUACGAGUUCAUGAGUAAUGGGAGCUUGGCAAACCUUCUGUACAGUAAGCUCAGAAGCCCCCAUUUGUUUGAUUUGUUAUACGUUUUCAUGUUUUGGUAAAUAUCCAACCAUAUAGAAGGAAACUUCAUUGAUUGAAGCUGUAUUAUACAUUGUGGUCAUAGGUUAUUGUUUUCUGUUGCUAAAAUUUUGUGCAGCAUGGAAUUAUGCCUUUUCUCAUAUAAUAAGAUGGCAAUAUCAGUUUCUUUUUUCUUAUCUCUUUAUCUCUUAAAAAUGAACAUGUACAUUGAACCAGAUGAAGAAGAACUAGUUUUGGGCUGGGAAGAAAGGCUUCAAAUUGCUCUAGAUGUAUCACAUGGAAUAGAAUAUCUUCAUGAAGGGGCAGUCCCACCUGUCAUACAUCGUGAUUUGAAGUCAGCUAACAUACUCUUGGACCAAUCAAUGAGAGCUAAGGUUGCUGAUUUUGGACUCUCAAAGGAAGAGGCCUAUGAUGGACGCAACUCUGGUCUGAAAGGUACAUAUGGCUACAUAGAUCCGGUGUAUGUAACUACAAACCAAUUCACCAUGAAGAGUGACAUCUACAGUUUUGGAGUCGUCAUAUUAGAGUUGGUAACAGGCAGGCUGCCCACAGAUCCAGAGUUUGGAGAGAAAGACUUGGUGAAAUGGGUUUACUCCACCUUAGACCAAAAAGGAGUGGAUCAAGUAAUUGAUCCCAAACUUGAUUCCAGUUUCAAGGAUGAAAUUUGCAGGGUUCUUGAUGUUGGUCUUCGCUGCACUAGCUCUCUUCCCAUCAGCCGGCCUUCAAUGCGGAGGGUGGUGAACAUGCUGCAAGAGGCAGGUGUAGAAAGCAAGCUUAAAUCCAGCAAGAAGGAUGGGAAGCUCUCUCCGUAUUACCAUGAAGAAGCCUCUGAUGAAGUGCAGUUGAGAAUAGAGAGUUAAUUGGUGGUGAAUUUUCAUUACUGCCUCUUGAUGAUGUUUGAUUUCAUAGGGCAAAGGGAAUGAUUGAUGAAAUGACAGGAGAUAGAUCUCUCCACAUGCUCUCUUUGAAAAUUAUAGCCUACAUUUAAGACCACAGAUUAAGACAAGAAAAAGCUUGCAAUUAUUGGUGCCUGCUAUUUUAGUUGCUGUCUUCCUCUUUAAUUAGGUAAUUGUAACAUGGAAAAACAUGGGACUUGUCAAGAAAUGAACCGGACAUUUCCAUUUAGCAAUAGUUGUUAUACAUCAGUAUCAUCAAUACAAAAUUUAGAAAGAUCCAAUAUUUUUGAACCUUUACCUUCAUUUCGCCCUAUAUUGUGAAUCUAUGAUCCAGAGGUUGCUUUGUUUUGAUGCAAGGGAAAUCUAAUCUUGUUAACGGGAA
rnacentral:misc_RNA from 1 species